GACGAACGCUGGCGGCGUGCUUAACACAUGCAAGUCGAACGGAAAGGCCCCCUUGUGGGGUACUCGAGUGGCGAACGGGUGAGUAACACGUGAGUAACCUACCCUUGACUUUGGGAUAACUUCAGGAAACUGGGGCUAAUACCGGAUAGGAGCUCCUGCUGCAUGGUGGGGGUUGGAAAGUUUCGGCGGUUGGGGAUGGACUCGCGGCUUAUCAGCUUGUUGGUGGGGUAGUGGCUCACCAAGGCUUUGACGGGUAGCCGGCCUGAGAGGGUGACCGGCCACAUUGGGACUGAGAUACGGCCCGGACUCCUACGGGAGGCAGCAGUGGGGAGUAUUGCACAAUGGGCGGAAGCCUGAUGCAGCAACGCCGCGUGCGGGAUGACGGCCUUCGGGUUGUAAACCGCUUUCGCCUGUGACGAAGCGUGAGUGACGGUAAUGGGUAAAGAAGCACCGGCUAACUACGUG
rnacentral:rRNA from 1 species